AACGAACGCUGGCGGCGCGCUUAACACAUGCAAGUCGAACGAGAAGGCGUAGCAAUACGCUUGUACAGUGGCGAACGGGUGAGGAAUACAUGGGGUAACCUACCCUCGAGUGGGGGAGUAACCCGCCCGAAGGACGGGCGUAAUACCGCGCACGCUUCCGAUCUUGCGGGAGUUGGAAGGGAAAGGACUGUCCCUUCGGGGAGUGGCGGCCCAACGGAGUGGGCGUCAUGUCCUAUCAGCUUGUUGGUA
rnacentral:rRNA from 1 species